UGUGACGUCACACGCCAACCACGGAUCCUGCAAGUCGGUGUUUGUUGUAUUUAACUCUUCGAAUGAACUAAAGUUAACCUUUUUUUGCAUUUUUUUGCUGGAUUACGUUUCGCCCGUGGAGGACUGGGACACAGGGACCGACGCCAGGUGGAUUCCCACGACAGCGAACAUCAACUCUGCUAGCUUACCUUCAAUUGGCAGCUGCCGCUGUCCAAAGUGCUGAAUCUCAUUGCGGGUUGAGAUGAGCACGGAAGAAUUUAAAUGAGACAUACAUGGCACGUCCAAGCUGCAGACUACAUGGAACCGCUUUAGGUGCGAGGAAGAUUCACCUCUGGCUACCAAGAUGGGGAAGUUGAUGGAAGUUGUGUGCUUUCAUCAUUCAGCGCCGAGGCUCGAGAGUCCACAGCAGCGACGUCUACAACUCAGGCAGAAUAUCAAAUGACGGUGAAGACCGGCAGCAGGUGUGUUACAGUGUGAAAUGCAGCAUAUUCACGCAAUGGUCCUUUUUAAAAUAACUUUAAAGAGAAUUCCUGUUACCUCAUAUAUAUAUAGAAGGCACCCACACAUGUGAACUAUGGUGGAAAGUCCACAUUGGAGUGUUCCUAAAGUUGGACAAUUUGGAAUUCGAUCAGCAUUUUCUGGAGAAAAUAUUCUUCUGAGCAGAGCAGACUCUGGACAAAUUGGGGCCUGAAGCCAGUGCUUCUCAAAGAGUUGGGCGGUCCCCCCUUGGGGGGCACGGUGAGGUGAUGGGGCGACGUGAGAGUCAGGGUGGACUAUACUCGUAUCUUUAUUCAUUCAUUCAUUCAUUUUCUACUGCUUCUCAAAGAGUGGGGCGGGGUCCCCUUGGGGGGCCACGGUGAGGUGAUGGGGUGACGUGAGAGUCAGGGUGGACUAUACUCGUAUCUUUAUUCAUUCAUUUUCUACUGCUUCUCAAAGAGUGGGGCGGUGUCCCCUUGGGGGGCCACGGUGAGGUGAUGGGGUGACGUGAGAGUCAGGGUGGACUAUACUCGUAUCUUUAUUCAUUCAUUCAUUUUCUACUGCUUCUCAAAGAGUGGGGCGGGCCCCCUUGGGGGGCCACGGUGAGGUGAUGGGGGCGACAUGAGAGUCAUCAUAUAAUAACUCAUCAUUCAGGGUGGACUAUACUCAUAUCUUUAUUCAUUCAUUCAUUUUCUACUGCUUCUCAAAGAGUGGGGCGGGCCCCCUUGGGGGGCCACGGUGAGGCGAUGGGGGCGACAUGAGAGUCAUCAUAUAAUAACUCAUCAUUCAGGGUGGACUAUACUCAUAUCUUUAUUCAUUCAUUCAUUUUUUAGUGCUUCUCAAAGAGUGGGGUGGGCCCCCCUUGGGGGAGGCACGGUAAGGCGAUGGGGCGACGUGAGAGUCAGGGUGGACUAUACUCGUAUCUUUAUUCAUUAAUUCAUUCAUUUUCUACUGCUUCUCAAAGAGUGGGAUGGGCCCCCCUUGGGAAUCCACGGUGAGGUGAUGGGGGCGACAUGAGA